rnacentral:lncRNA from 1 species
UAUUUGUAAAAAUGACAAUAAUCACAAUAACAUUGAUAGUAAUAACAAUAGUUUUUACAAUGAAAAAAAAAACGAAUUUUUAUUUACAGAAAGAGAUAUAAAUUUAUUAGUUAAAAAUUCGAAAAGUAAGAAAAAGGAAAAAAAGGGAAGCUAUGAUGAUAGUAAUGACAAUAAUUACUAUAGUAAUGAUAAUUAUAAUGAUAAUAAUGGUUAUAACGACAGUAAUAACAAAAACGGAGAGGGUAUUGUCAAUAAUAAUAACGGUAGCAGUAAUUGUGGCUACCAUUUACUAAACGGUAACAACAAUCUUGAAAAACUAAACAAAGAAUCAGCAUUAUUUCUGUUUGACCCUUAUAGUACAAAACAAGAAAUAGAAAAUACAAUGACAACAAAAGAGGUACCUAGUAAUAGUAGUAGUAGUAGUAAGAGGCAAAAAUCAUAUCCUAUAAGAAACGUAAGAAAAGUAAACAAAGGAAAAAAAUUUAAGACAUCAAUGAUUGUAUCAAAUUUAUCAAAAGAAACAUUAAAAACUGACAAUCUUUUAAAUAAUUUAUCGUACGAAAAUUUAUAUAUAAUGAAUAACAAUUUACAAAAUAAUGAACAAAUAAUAUAUGCUAAUGAAAUAAAUAAUAUACUUUAUAACAAGGAUGUUUUAGAACCAGUAUUAAACAAUGUUACUAAAGUUAAUGAUGAAAAUAUUUUUAAUAAUGAUUUUUAUAUAAAUAAUGAUAAAAAAAAAUUAACAAAAAGAAAAAAACAAAAACCGUUAGAUAAUAAUAAAUGUACUAAUUUUAACAAUGACAAUAAUAUCAAUAACAAUGUUACUAAUAGUGUAACUAAUGAACAGAAUAACUUAGUCAUAAAUAAUGUUGGCCAUUAUAUUGAUGAUAAUGAAGAUUCUAUAAAAUUAAAUAGUAAUAUAUUUAAAACAGUUGAUAAUAUGUUAAAUAGUACAUCUUCAUUAGCACAAUAUUCAGUAGCACAAUAUAAAAUACAAAACGCUAAAUGUGCUUAUAGUACUAAUAAAAAAAAGUUACAACACUGUAACGAGAAAAUGCUUUACUCAAAAAGGAAUAAAAAUAUGAGUAACAUAAAAAAAAAUGGUAUAAUUAGUAAGAGUAGUAGUAGGUUUAAGAACAUGAGUGGCAGGAACCUGGGAGGUAAUGAUGGCAACAAUAAUAAUAAUGAAAACGAGAAUAAUGAAAAUGGGAAUAAUGAAAAUGGGAAUAAUGAGAAUGGGAAUAACGAAAACGGGACUAAUGAAAACAGGACUAAUGAAAACAGGAAUAAUGAGAAUAACAGUAAUAAUAUUGGCAAUGAUAACAGUGACAACAUUAAUAGUGGCAACAAUAACAAUAACAAUAGUAAAAAUUUAUCUUUUAUGCUUGUAAAAAAUAAUGAACAUGAUAAUUUUUAUCAACCAACAUCUGUUUCUCCUAAAA